ACUUAAAUUAUUAUUAUUAUUAUUAUUAUUAUUAUUAUCACUUAAACUUCCUUUUAUUCAGACAGGCUUUCCUCAUUUGUUAGAAAAACUGACCACACCGACUGUCAGUUACUCAGCAGAACCUGGAGAGGUAUCAUCCUGAGCUAUUUUUACCCUCAGAUGUUAAGCCUGGAGCAUCUCUCAGGGUGACAUGGAGACAGUGGUGCUUCCGGAGUAAGUGACAGAAAUGAAAUUAGCACUAGGAUUCGGAAUCGACACUCUGGACUGCCGUGGAAG
rnacentral:lncRNA from 12 species